ACUUCCUGUCCGUGACUGUUCUCUUGCUGGUGUUGAAGAUGACUGCGGCAAUCGUCCACGCUUACGUGCAGCAGCUUUUAAUAUCUCAUUUCAAAUAUUAAGUCAGUGAACAUAGGCGGUCCUCGUUGAACAGAGAUGUUUAUUUUAGAGUAACGUAGGAUGAAGAAUCUAGCGACGUUCUAAUGAUGUUAGCGCGUUAGCUUUUUAGCUUCAACGCAGCACGUGGUGGAUGGAGAGCAUGCCCUCGACCAUGUGCGACGCAAGUGAAUUAUGACGGCCUGUUCUGCGCCACUUGGUUCCGAGUGUCUGAACGAAGGGAUGUUGUAAAGGUGCAGUAAAUUAGACAUCAAAAGAGAACAUCGGUCUGUGGGAAAGGCGAUUGAGAGGUAGAACUUCUGAGUUAGGAUGAAGAAACUUAAUCCAAGGAAAACAACUCCCCCCCCCCCCCCCCCUUCUCCAAUAAACAAGUUUGUUGUACAAAACUAAGCUCCUGAAUCAUGAUGCUUGACUCCACUGUGAUUUCUGUCUGUUAGACUUUUUCUUCAAGUUUUCAAGGAAGAUCUGCUGCUCUUGCAGGUAGUCAUGGUCCUGUGUGCAUGAAUACCCAAGUUUAGUGGAAAUUUAUACAAUGAUUGAAGGACUUUCUAUUAAAAAUAUCUAAGCAUAUGUUGUCCUCAUUGUGAUAUUUGCAUUAAAGUUUAUAAGCAUUACAAUAGAUUUGUAGUGUACUUACUGCUCGCUGCAAGUUGCUGUCAGAUCCAGUAUGGAUAAAUGAUAGAAUCAUCUUUAUUGGCAGUUAAAACCAAGUAAUUUGUUACCGGUAGUUGGUGUUACCCUAGUACUACAAGUGCAGCUCAAUACAUUAACAACUAUAGUAAUUGUAGAAAGGUUAGUCAAAAUGUGAAAUGCACAGAAAUACUUUUCAGAAGGCCAACUUCUACAUUAAACAUCUGUUUUA